UAUUUUUUUCAUUUUUUUAUUUUUUUAUUUAUUUUUUAUUUUAUUUUAUUUGUUUAUUUAAUUUUAAACCAAUGAUAUUAGAGAUAUUUUACCUUUUAGUGAAUGUUAUUUUUGUGACUUUCUCCUUCUAGUGUUAUUUUUGAGACAAAAACUCAAAAUGUGCUAUUAUUGACAAUUGCCCUUGAAAUAACCCUUUGGGCAAUUCUCUCGAAUAUACAUUUUAAGUUUUUGUCACAAAAAUAACAUUAAAAAAAAAUUGACCAAAAUAGCUAUUUUUAAUUUUAGAAUUUUUAAUAUUUAUUUUUAUUUUUUAAAAUUUAAAACCAUAUACCCAAAACUCCACCCCUUAAGUCUAAACCAUAAGUUUAGAUUAGUUAACCUUAGCGUGAAAAUAUAUUUUAACUUUUUAAUAAAAUUUAUUUUGGUCAUUUUUUUCAUUGAAUGCUAUUUUUGUGAUAAAAACUUAAAGGACUAUCUUAAAAAAAUUCUCUAACUCGUUAUAUCAUCCUAAAAUAAACCUAAAUUAUCAAUAUUUUCUAAUUUAAUGGAAGUUUACCCGCAUAGUUCUCUAAUCAAACUUUUCCAUCGUCUUCCUCUCAUCACACAGGUCAGAAGUUAUCACUUAUUUGAUAUUCCCCCUUUUAUCUCUCUCUAGAAAUAUCAGUAAGGGUUUAUAGGUUUCUUAUGCGAUCUUGAUGGCAAAAAAAAUCAAAGUAGGUUUUGUUUAGAUUAGCGCUGAAUCUUCUUGUAGUUAUUCAAAUUUGGGUUAUGGGUGAAGCGAAAGCUUGAUCUGGUUAAGAUUUUAAGAAACAAGAUCUAUUUGCCCGAAAACGUACGAAAUUAUGAGAAAUUGCUCUGUUUUCUUUUCUUAAACUUACAGUUUUUUCCUUAAUGAUUUAGUUAUUAUUACCAACAGACACAAAAAUCAGUGACAGAGAAUUUGUUAAUCUUUAGACUUUUUACAAGUUGAGUUUCCUUCAAAGAAGUUCAGGACUGAAUGUGGUGUCUUGCUUCAAAUGGAAAUUACUUUAUAUGUGAUGUGGUGGUUCAUUCAUUUUGCUAUGGUUUGGAAACACCAAAAGACUUAUUAACACAAAGAAGAGGAGUAAUGGAGAGACUGUGAGGGGCGGAGGUAGUGAAGGAGAAGUGGGGUCAGCUGACCCCACUAUUUUUUUAAAUAUAUUUGUUUUUGUUUAAGAAAAAAAUUAUUGACUCCAUUAAAAUAUAUAAUUUGACCUCACAAAAUAUAUAAUCCUACUAAAAUAAUUAUAAUACAUUAAAAAUUAAAGUUAUAAUUUGUAGUUUUUAAUGGUUUAUAAAUUAUGUUUUUGAAAAAAAAAAAUUAUGACCCCGGUAUAAAAAAUUUCUGGCUCCGCCACUGACUGUGACUAUGUGUUAAUUAUCAACACCUGUUCUAACUCUUUUGCUUUAUACUUGUCAUUUCCAGAGCAAUAAAAGAAUGUGUUGAUAAUAGAAUAAAAAGAGCCUUUGUAUAGUAAAAAGGUUUUGUACUAAAGGUUAAAUCUUUGCACUUGGUAGAAAAAUUAUUGCAAAAGAAAUUGUCUAGUGUUUUUCAAAA